AACUGUUUCUCAGCCAGAACAAUUGGGCCCUUACCCCGGCUGCCACCCACAAGUGUAGGGUGAUGGUCAACUUACUUGACCUCUCUUGCAUUGUCUGAAGAUGGGAAGAAAUGAUAUGCCCACCUCAUGGGGAGGUGUUGCUGGAGAGGACAUGACCUCCGGUUGACCCAUAGCUGGACCCAGGCAAUUGGAGGCUCCUCACCCACCUCCCCUGUCCUUGGAAGGGGCUGCCUUCAGAUUACAUCAGGAUGAUGCAGAGGAAGUUGCCAACCAAGGGGGGUGACCACACAUCUCCGUUUUCUCAGAAGAAUCAUGCUUUAUGCUGCUCUCCUGGCACGCCAUCCAUUUUGUGAUCUCCUUCACGCUCUAAAGUACCCUCUUUGGGCCAAUAAAUGUCAUCACCUUCCUUCGCCU